rnacentral:rRNA from 1 species
UACAGAGGUCCCAAGCGUUGUUCGGAUUCAUUGGGCGUAAAGGGUGCGCAGGCGGCGCGGUAAGUCGGGUGUGAAAUCUCGGAGCUUAACUCCGAAACUGCAUUCGAUACUGCCGUGCUUGAGGACUGGAGAGGAGACUGGAAUUUACGGUGUAGCGGUGAAAUGCGUAGAUAUCGUAAGGAAGACCAGUGGCGAAGGCGGGUCUCUGGACAGUUCCUGACGCUGAGGCACGAAGGUCAGGGAGCAAACGGG